GUGUCAGCCGCCGCGGUAAUACGUAGGUGGCGAGCGUUGUCCGGAAUUACUGGGUGUAAAGGGCGUGUAGGCGGGUCUGCAAGUCAGAUGUGAAAUUCCGGGGCUUAACCCCGGCGCUGCAUUUGAAACUGCGGAUCUUGAGUAUCGGAGAGGGAAGUGGAAUUCCUAGUGUAGCGGUGAAAUGCGUAGAUAUUAGGAGGAACACCAGUGGCGAAGGCGACUUUCUGGACGAUAACUGACGCUGAGGCGCGAAAGCGUGGGGAGCAAACAGGAUUAGAUACCCCAGUAGUCC
rnacentral:rRNA from 1 species